CUGUAUGCUGUUAAUGCUAAUCGUGAUAGGGGUUUUUACCUCUGACUGACUCCUACAUGUUAGCAUUAACAGGGUAUGAUG
ensembl:miRNA MIR155 microRNA 155